rnacentral:rRNA from 1 species
ACGGAAGGCAGCAGUAGGGAAUCUUGCACAAUGGGCGAAAGCCUGAUGCAGCAACGCCGCGUGAAGGAUGAAGGCCUUCGGGUUGUAAACUUCUUUUCUUAGGGAAGAAAAAAAUGACGGUACCUAAGGAAUAAGCCCCGGCUAACUACGUGCCAGCAGCCGCGGUAAUACGUAGGGGGCAAGCGUUAUCCGGAAUUAUUGGGCGUAAAGAGUGCGUAGGUGGUUAUCCAAGCGCAAGGUUUAAUUUAGCAGCUCAACUGCUUCUCGCCUUGCGAACUGGACUACUUGAGUGCAGGAGGGGAAAGCGGAAUUCCUAGUGUAGCGGUGAAAUGCGUAGAUAUUAGGAGGAACACCAGCGGCGAAGGCGGCUUUCUGGACUGUAACUGACACUGAGGCACGAAAGCGUGGGGAGCAAACAGGAUUAGAUACCCUGGUA